rnacentral:rRNA from 1 species
GACGGGGGUCCUAGCGUUGUUCGGAAUUAUUGGGCGUAAAGCGUGUGCAGGUUGUCUGAAAAGUUAGAUGUGAAAUCCUUGGGCUCAACCCAAGACGUGCAUUUAAAACUGUCAGACUUGAGUAUGAAAGAGGAUCGUGGAAUUCCUAGUGUAGUGGUGAAAUACGUAGAUAAUUAGGAGGAACACCGGCGGCGAAGGCGGCGAUCUGGUUCAAUACUGACACUCGAUACACGAAAGCGUGGGGAUCAAACAGGGA